rnacentral:tRNA from 1 species
UGGGUGGUGCGCCAGCGGCCGACGCUGGCCGCCGCCGUCGGCCACUGGCGCUACUGCCAGAUCUUCGCGGUGUUCUUGCUCGCGGCCGUCUUC